ACGAACGCUGGCGGCGUGCUUCACCCAUGCCAGUCGCACGGAAAGGCCCUGCUUUUGUGGGGUGCUCGAGUGGCGAACGGGUGAGUAACACGUGAGUAACCUGCCCUUGACUUUGGGAUAACUUCAGGAAACUGGGGCUAAUACCGGAUAGGAGCUCCUGCUGCAUGGUGGGGGUUGGAAAGUUUCGGCGGUUGGGGAUGGACUCGCAGCUUAUCAGCUUGUUGGUGGGGUAGUGGCUUACCAAGGCUUUGACGGGUAGCCGGCCUGAGAGGGUGACCGGCCACAUUGGGACUGAGAUACGGCCCAGACUCCUACGGGAGGCAGCAGUGGGGAAUAUUGCACAAUGGGCGGAAGCCUGAUGCAGCAACGCCGCGUGCGGGAUGACGGCCUUCGGGUUGUAAACCGCUUUCGCCUGUGACGAAGCGUGAGUGACGGUAAUGGGUAAAGAAGCACCGGCUAACUACGUG
rnacentral:rRNA from 1 species